rnacentral:rRNA from 1 species
AGGGUUUGAUCCUGGCUCAGGACGAACGCUGGCGACGUGCUUAACACAUGCAAGUCGAACGGGGUGUUUAUUUCGGUAAACACCAAGUGGCGAACGGGUGAGUAACGCGUAAGCAAUCUACCUUCAAGAUGGGGACAACACUUCGAAAGGGGUGCUAAUACCGCAUAAGCGCACAGUACCGCAUGGUACAGUGUGAAAAACUCCGGUGGUGUGAGAUGGACCCGCGUCUGAUUAGCUAGUUGGCAGGGCAACGGCCUACCAAGGCGACGAUCAGUAGCCGACCUGAGAGGGUGACCGGCCACAUUGGGACUGAGACACGGCCCAA